GACGAACGCUGGCGGCGUGCUUAACACAUGCAAGUCGAACGGUGAAGGGACCGGUUUUUGCUGGUUCUGGAUGAGUGGCGAACGGGUGAGUAACACGUGAGUAACCUGCCCCCUUCUUCUGGAUAACCGCAUGAAAGUGUGGCUAAUACGGGAUAUUCUGCGCCUGCUGCAUGGUGGGUGUGGGAAAGAUAUUGUUUCGGUGGUGGAUGGGCUCGCGGCCUAUCAGCUUGUUGGUGGGGUGAUGGCCUACCAAGGCGGUGACGGGUAGCCGGCCUGAGAGGGUGGACGGUCACACUGGGACUGAGACACGGCCCAGACUCCUACGGGAGGCAGCAGUGGGGAAUAUUGCACAAUGGGCGCAAGCCUGAUGCAGCGACGCCGCGGGAGGGAUGGAGGCCUUCGGGUUGUAAACCUCUUUCGCCAGUGAAGCAGGCCUGUCCCUUUUGUGGGUGGGUUGACGGUAGCUGGAUAAGAAGCGCCGGCUAACUACGUG
rnacentral:rRNA from 1 species